rfam:Ipomoea nil DNA, scaffold: scaffold0805, cultivar: Tokyo-kokei standard.
GUGGACGUGCCGAAGUGGUUAUCGAGCAUGACUAGAAAUCAUGUGGGCUUUGCCCACGCAGGUUUGAAUCUUGUCGUCCAUG